AAACAGAUGCUAAAUACCGGGAUAACAACAGAUGAUGCCCUAGGCAACCUGUUUAAAAAGAUGGCUCUGCUAUCACUCUUGGGAUGGGACCCUGCGGUGCAUUAGCUAGUUGGUAGGGUAACGGCCUACCAAGGCGAUGAUGCAUAGCCGAGUUGAGAGACUGAUCGGCCACAUUGGGACUGAGACACGGCCCAAACUCCUACGGGAGGCAGCAGUAGGGAAUCUUCCACAAUGGACGCAAGUCUGAUGGAGCAACGCCGCGUGAGUGAAGAAGGGUUUCGGCUCGUAAAGCUCUGUUGUUGGUGAAGAAGGACAGGGGUAGUAACUGACCUUUGUUUGACGGUAAUCAAUUAGAAAGUCACGGCUAACUACGUGCCAGCAGCCGCGGUAAU
rnacentral:rRNA from 1 species